GAGAAGACACGGAGAAGGUGAAGUGCAGAUGAAGGCAGAGAUUGGAGUGGAGCAGCCACAAGUGAAGAAAUGCCUACAGCCACCAUAAACUGGAAGAGGCAAGGAAGGAAUCGCCCCUGGAGCCUCCAAAGAGAGAAACCAGCCUCCACGUAAUAAAUACAAUUACCCUGAAACUGUCAUAUUGUGAGAAGACCAAGCCACAUAGAGAGAGAGAAAGGCCCAGGAGAAGCAAAGCACCAAGCAUGUGAGUAAGAAGCUAUCUUGGACAUCCAGCCUGGCAGAGCUACAGAUAACCACAGACCCAGAAGCCAUCUGACUAUAACUAUAAUACAAAAGAGACUACAUGUGAGAAUCACCAGUCUGACAUGUAAAAAGCUGAGAAGUCAUCACUUUCAUCCUCACAAUAAGAAAAAAACACUGAACAAACUGAAAAUCAGUAAUCCUUAGGUUCAUCAGAGAACUGAAGUCGAAGGAGAAACUGCUCUGAAAACUGGACAGGAAAAUACAGAAAAAGCACUGUGGGAGCCAGCAACUGGAAAGAUAUCAAUGGGAAA